AGGGCACCACCAGGAGUGGAGCCUGUGGCUUAAUUUGACUCAACACGGGGAAACUCACCAGGCCCGGACACCAGAAGGAUUGACAGAUUGAUAGCUCUUUCUUGAUUUGGUGGUUGGUGGUGCAUGGCCGUUCUUAGUUGGUGGAGUGAUCUGUCUGGUUAAUUCCGAUAACGAACGAGACUCUGUCCUGCUAAAUAGAUCCAGCCUUUCUUUUGGGUUGGACUAGCUUCUUAGAGGGACUGGCGAUGACUAGUCGCACGAGAUUGAGCAAUAACAGGUCUGUGAUGCCCUUAGAUGUUCUGGGCCGCACACGCGCUGCACUGAAUUGAUCAGCUAGUUUUUCCCUUUCCGAGAGGAACGGGUAAACUGUUGAACCCAAUUCGUGGUAGGGAUUAGAGCUUGCAAUUGUUCUCUAUGAACCAGGAAUUCCCAGUAAGCGCGAGUCAUCAGCUCGCGUUGAUUACGUCCCUGUCCUUUGUACACACCGCCCGUCGCUACUACCGAUUGAAUGUUUUAGUG
rnacentral:rRNA from 1 species